GAUGAACGCUGGCGGCGUGCCUAAUACAUGCAAGUCGAGCGAACAGACGAGGAGCUUGCUCCUCUGACGUUAGCGGCGGACGGGUGAGUAACACGUGGAUAACCUACCUAUAAGACUGGGAUAACUUCGGGAAACCGGAGCUAAUACCGGAUAAUAUAUUGAACCGCAUGGUUCAAUAGUGAAAGACGGUUUUGCUGUCACUUAUAGAUGGAUCCGCGCCGCAUUAGCGAGUUGGUAAGGUAACGGCUUACCAAGGCAACGAUGCGUAGCCGACCUGAGAGGGUGAUCGGCCACACUGGAACUGAGACACGGUCCCGACUCCUACGGGAGGCCGCAGUAGGGAAUCUUCCGCAAUGGGCGACAGCCUGACGGAGCCCCGCCGCGUGAGUGAUGAAGGUCUUCGGAUCGUAAAACUCUGUUAUUAGGGAAGAACAAAUGUGUAAGUAACUAUGCACGUCUUGACGGUACCUAAUCAGAAAGCCACGGCUAACUACGUG
rnacentral:rRNA from 1 species